UACGUAGGCAGCAAGCGUUGUUCGGAGUUACUGGGCGUAAAGGGUGCGUAGGCGGUUGUUUAAGUUUGGUGUGAAAUCUCCCGGCUCAACUGGGAGGGUGCGCCGAAUACUGAAUGACUAGAGUGCGGGAGAGGAGAGUGGAAUUCCUGGUGUAGCGGUGAAAUGCGUAGAUAUCAGGAAGAACACCCGUGGCUAAGGCGGCUCUCUAGUACGGUACUGACGCUGAGACGCGAAAGCGUGGGGAGCGAACAGG
rnacentral:rRNA from 1 species